rnacentral:rRNA from 1 species
AGCAGCCGCCACGGUAAAACGUAGGUGGCAAGCGUUGUCCGGAAUUAUUGGGCGUAAAGGGCUCGCAGGCGGUUUCUUAAGUCUGAUGUGAAAGCCCCCGGCUCAACCGGGGAGGGUCAUUGGAAACUGGGAAACUUGAGUGCAGAAGAGGAGAGUGGAAUUCCACGUGUAGCGGUGAAAUGCGUAGAGAUGUGGAGGAACACCAGUGGCGAAGGCGACUCUCUGGUCUGUAACUGACGCUGAGGAGCGAAAGCGUGGGGAGCGAACAGGAUUAGAUACCCGCGUAGUCCCUGUCUCUUAUAC